GUCUUCGUGGCGCAACUGGUUAGCGCGUCUGACUGUUAGGAAGCUAGAUUUGAAAAGUCAAAUCCAGUCCUUAGUCAUCAGGAGGUUGACAGUUCGAGCCUGUCCGAGGACG
rfam:TPA: Aspergillus nidulans FGSC A4 chromosome VII